rnacentral:tRNA from 1 species
GGUCCCGUAGCUCAGUUGGUUAGAGCGUUGGUCUUAUGAGCCCAAGGUUUAGGUUCGAGACCC